AGAGUUUGAUCMUGGCUCAGGACGAACGCUGGCGGCGUGCCUAAUACAUGCAAGUCGAGCGAUGAUUAAAGAUAGCUUGCUAUUUUUAUGAAGAGCGGCGAACGGGUGAGUAACGCGUGGGAAAUCUGCCGAGUAGCGGGGGACAACGUUUGGAAACGAACGCUAAUACCGCAUAACAAUGAGAAUCGCAUGAUUCUUAUUUGAAAGAAGCAAUUGCUUCACUACUUGAUGAUCCCGCGUUGUAUUAGCUAGUUGGUAGUGUAAAGGACUACCAAGGCGAUGAUACAUAGCCGACCUGAGAGGGUGAUCGGCCACACUGGGACUGAGACACGGCCCAGACUCCUACGGGAGGCAGCAGUAGGGAAUCUUCGGCAAUGGGGGCAACCCUGACCGAGCAACGCCGCGUGAGUGAAGAAGGUUUUCGGAUCGUAAAACUCUGUUGUUAGAGAAGAACGUUAAGUAGAGUGGAAAAUUACUUAAGUGACGGUAU
rnacentral:rRNA from 1 species